GAAGCACCGGCUAACUCCGUGCCAGCAGCCGCGGUAAUACGGAGGGUGCGAGCGUUAAUCGGAAUUACUGGGCGUAAAGCGCAUGCAGGUGGUUUGUUAAGUCAGAUGUGAAAGCCCGGGGCUCAACCUCGGAAUUGCAUUUGAAACUGGCAGACUAGAGUACUGUAGAGGGGGGUAGAAUUUCAGGUGUAGCGGUGAAAUGCGUAGAGAUCUGAAGGAAUACCGGUGGCGAAGGCGGCCCCCUGGACAGAUACUGACACUCAGAUGCGAAAGCGUGGGGAGCAAACAGGAUUAGAUACCCUGGUAGUCCACGCCGUAAACGAUGUCUACUUGGAGGGUGUGGCCUUGAGCCGUGGCUUUCGGAGCUAACGCGUUAAGUAGACCGCCUGG
rnacentral:rRNA from 1 species